GGUCGGGGUUUCGUACGUAGCAGAGCA
rnacentral:piRNA from 7 species